rnacentral:rRNA from 1 species
GACGAACGCUGGCGGCGUGCCUAACACAUGCAAGUCGAGCGGAGUCGAUCGACGGAAGCCUUCGGGCGGAAGAUGGUUGACUUAGCGGCGGAUGGGUGAGUAACGCGUGGGCAACCUGCCUCGAAGACCGGGAUAACAGCCCGAAAGGGCUGCUAAUACCGGAUGUGGUCAAGGAUCCGCAUGGAUUUUUGAUUAAAGGGGAAACCCGUUUCGAGAUGGGCCCGCGUCCUAUCAGCUAGUUGGUGAGGUAAAAGCUCACCAAGGCGACGACGGGUAGCCGGCCUGAGAGGGUGACCGGCCACACUGGAACUGAGACACGGUCCAGACUCCUACGGGGGGCAGCAGUGGGGAAUCUUCCACAAUGGGCGAAAGCCUGAUGGAGCGACGCCGCGUGAGCGAAGAAGGCCUCGGUUGUAAGACUCUGUCUGGAGGGACGAAGGAAGUGACGGUACCUCCGGAGGAAGCCACGGCUAACUACGUG